UAUUGCUAGAGAAAAAAAUGGCAUACCACCUGAGGAAACUGCAAGAGCAUUCUUAUCAAAGUGUAGCAUUUGAAAGUCCUGGAAAGAGCCUGGACAAGCUUUUAUCAGAAAAACAAAAGAUUAAAAAUGAAGGUAUCUAUAAGAUAAUAUGUACAGUCUUCUGCCUUUGCCUUGCAUGCCAGGUCUGCAAAUGCCAUUACUUCUCACUUCCAAAGCAUCUAUCUUCUCUGAAGUCCCUUGUAAAGAAUUUCCCUCCUUUUACAUCUUUUUCUGCAUUUCUCACAAAUAUAGGUAUUGUACAAUUCAUGGCAUAAACUCUUUCUAGCAUUCUACUCUCUCACGUUUCUUUUGUGUAGCAACAAGAUAUUUAAAAUGAUAUAUUGAUGUUUUUCCACCCUCUAGAAGAAUGCACAGUCGGCCCUUCUUGUCUAUCUUCUGUUCUCAGUGGAAAUGACAUUAGGAAGACUUCAUUCUCUUCACUAACAUUGGAGUAUGAUUUCAUGCAGAAAAACAGAGGAUCUUCACAGAAAGACUCAGAUUGUAGUGAGAUGCAUUUGGACAACAGCCUAAGUGGGAAAUGUGAGACAGGCCCCGAUUACACCAGCAGCAGCAGUGGCAAUGCCAUCAAUCUGAAUCCCAGAGAAAACAGUGGAUGCGAAAACAGCAGAUGCGAAAACAGCGGAUGUGAAAACAGCGGAAACAUUGGCAACUGUUCUACCUGUGCCUCCAGGGAGUGCUGUGAAGCAGCAAACAGUACAAACACCAGUAAAUUCUC